rnacentral:rRNA from 1 species
UACAGAGGGGGCAAGCGUUAUUCGGAAUUAUUGGGCGUAAAGGGCGCGUAGGCGGCCAUUCAAGUGACGGGUGAAAGCCCUCGGCUUAACCGAGGAACUGCCUGUCAGACUGGAUGGCUUGAGACCGGGAGAGGUGAGUGGAAUUCCCAGUGUAGCGGUGAAAUGCGUAGAUAUUGGGAGGAACACCGGUGGCGAAGGCGGCGACCUGGGUAGAUACUGACGCUGAGGCGCGAAAGCGUGGGGAGCAAACAGGG